AGACUCCCUGAAAGUGCACGAACAAGAGCAUGGAGGAAUAUAUUUGUGGUGGUCAAGGGCUUUUAGUCCAGACAAAUCCAUCAUCGAGCAGCUGUCCAAGAAGCGUGCAGUAGCACUUCUGUGGUGAUGGUGAUGAUGAACUUAACAAUGGGUUGCCAAAGCUGUGUCCGCUGUUUUCCUGCCACAUUAGGAGGUCAGUCCCAAGAACACCCAGACGGGAAUUCCACCCUGGCUUAUCUCACUGGCCCAUCGACUGCCACCACCACGGAGGAGGAGUGGAGGGUCCUGACUGAGGGAAGGGUCAAAAGGGUAAGAGGGGUUGUCCUCUCCAGCCUGGAUUA